rnacentral:rRNA from 1 species
AUUGAACGCUGGCGGCAGGCCUAACACAUGCAAGUCGAACGGUAACAGGAAGAAGCUUGCUUCUUUGCUGACGAGUGGCGGACGGGUGAGUAAUGUCUGGGAAACUGCCUGAUGGAGGGGGAUAACUACUGGAAACGGUAGCUAAUACCGCAUAACGUCGCAAGACCAAAGAGGGGGACCUUCGGGCCUCUUGCCAUCGGAUGUGCCCAGAUGGGAUUAGCUAGUAGGUGGGGUAACGGCUCACCUAGGCCAAGAUCCCUAGCUGGUCUGAGAGGAUGACCAGCCACACUGGAACUGAGACACGGUCCAGACUCCUACGGGAGACAGAAGUGGGGAAUAUUGCACAAUGGGCGCAAGCCUGAUGCAGCCAUGCCGCGUGUAUGAAGAAGGCCUUCGGGUUGUAAAGUACUUUCAGCGGGGAGGAAGGGAGUAAAGUUAAUACCUUGGCUCAUUGACGUUACCCGCAGGAGAAGCACCGGCUAACUCCGUG